UUUGUGAAGGGUCUGCCUGACAUGGCCAACGUUUUAUGUUCAAAUAAGUGGCACAGCAGAAACAAUGGAAGAGGCAGAGGAAAAAUUAAUAAGAUUAAAAAGAACCCCUAUUCUUCUCUACCAAUAAUGAGUAGUCUGCUAAAGCAAAAGUGGCUGCUGUUGAAAAAACUUUCAAAUUAAAAGCUUUAGCAUAGGAUUGAUUAAAAAUAGAUAAUAUAUUUAGCCAAAUAGCUUUAGAGUUAACUGACGAACCCACUGAAAUUGCAGAACCUAAGAAAUAAAAGCCAAAAAAAUGUAACCAAAAAAUAGUGAAGAAACAAGCCUAAAAACAUAGUCUCGAAUGGUCAUCUACAUCAAUAGCAUCUUUGAUAUCUUCAUCACCACCGUCAUCAUUAUGUAAACCUAUAGAAAUAAAUAAUGAAACUAAAUAAAACGAAUUAAUGACAGUACUAACUAUAUUGUUGACUCAAAAAAAAAGGAAAAAAUUAGUUCAUAAUCUACACCAUACCACCUUGAUCAUCUUCAUCAUCACCAUCAACUAAAAGUAGAAAAAUAAGAAAAAUCCACUCUAAUUUGAAGGAAAUA